AUUGAACGCUGGCGGCAGGCCUAACACAUGCAAGUCGAACGAGUGGCGGACGGGUUAGUAAUUUCUGGGCAACUGCCCGAUGGAGGGGGAUAACUACUGGAAACGGUAGCUAAUACCGCAUACCAUCGGAUGUUCCCAGAUGGGAUUAGCUAGUAGGUGGGGUAACGGCGCUCCUAGUCGACGAUCCCUAGCUGGUCUGAGAGGAUGACCAGCCACACUGGAACUGAGACACGGUCCAGACUCCUACGGGAGGCAGCAGUGGGGAAUAUUGCACAAUGGGCGCAAGCCUGAUGCAGCCAUGCCGCGUGUAUGAAGAAGGCCUUCGGGUUGUAAAGUACUUUCAGCGAGGAGGCGUUACUCGCAGAAGAAGCAACGGCUAAAGACGUGCCAGCCGCCGCGGUAAUAC
rnacentral:rRNA from 1 species